rnacentral:rRNA from 1 species
GAGACAGCAGCCGCCGCGGUAAUACAGAGGGUGCGAGCGUUAAUCGGAUUUACUGGGCGUAAAGCGUGCGUAGGCGGCUUUUUAAGUCGGAUGUGAAAUCCCUGAGCUUAACUUAGGAAUUGCAUUCGAUACUGGGAAGCUAGAGUAUGGGAGAGGAUGGUAGAAUUCCAGGUGUAGCGGUGAAAUGCGUAGAGAUCUGGAGGAAUACCGAUGGCGAAGGCAGCCAUCUGGCCUAAUACUGACGCUGAGGUACGAAAGCAUGGGGAGCAAACAGGAUUAGAUACCCCCGUAUCCCUGUCUCUUAUACA